UCCAACUCGCCCAAUGGCGAGUUGGAAAUGGGUCAUCCAACUCGCCCAACGGUGAGUUGGAUUUGGUCGAUCCAACUCGCAGUUGGGCGAGUUGGAAGUUAUUCGUCCAACUAGCCAUUGGGUGAGUUGGA
rnacentral:pre_miRNA from 1 species